UACGGGGGGAGCAAGCGUUGUUCGGAUUUACUGGGCGUAAAGGGCGCGUAGGCGGCCAGCACAAGUCAGUUGUGAAAUCUCCGGGCUUAACUCGGAAAGGUCAACUGAUACUGUGCGGCUAGAGUGCAGAAGGGGCAACUGGAGUUCUCGGUGUAGCGGUGAAAUGCGUAGAUAUCGAGAGGAACACCUGCGGCGAAGGCGAGUCCCUGGAAAACUCCUGACACUGAGGCACGAAAGCUAGGGGAGCAAACAGG
rnacentral:rRNA from 1 species